GCAAACAAGAUCCCAUAAGUAGAACAAGAUAGAUCCUAGCCUGAAUAACCGUGAGCAAAACCUCACUGCCUUUACGGUCAGGCAGUUGUGCCCUGGGCCUCCGUGAAUGAAAACUUAAGUUGGAAGCGUUACUGGUAGAAACAGCUAUGAAGGGUGGUGGACAAUCUCUCAGUCACCAAACCCUUGUCUAACUGACUGCAUAGUGGCUCAGCUUUCAUUCAAUUGGGAAAAUUUGAACCAAGGCAGAUUCCUUCAGGGCUGAGAGCCUCAGACUGAUGCAUAAAUACAUUGAAAAUACUUCAGAUUUUCCACAUGAAUACAAGAUGGUUUGAGACUAGAGAAAUACUUCUCUUUAGUUCCUUGGUUUUUAACAUGAAGGUGUCAUUGUGGAGGACCUGGAUUAUGUAUGCUACCUGUGUUUAAAAAUAAUGCGCUUUGCCUAACCUUCAGCAGAAUGUAACUGUUAAGUAUAUUCUAUGUAUAAAAAAAAGUUUAAAGAUGUCUUCAAAGAAGACUAGAGUCUUUAAAUCACUUAUAGCUAUAUUUUACUACAAAAUUCUGUAUAAAGAUAUAUUUAAAUGUUUUAGAGAAAUUUAAGUUACUCCAUAUGAAAUGUUUAAUUUCAGUUACUGUGAAUUCUUCUAAUCAGUUCUUUGAUUUAAAAAGAAAAACCUUUUCCAUCAUAUUAAAAAGAGAAUUAGCUAUGGGAAGAUAUUAAAAGAUUUCUUAGAUGGAUAGGGUUAAAAAAUUUUGUAAUAUAUUUAAAUGUAUAUUUUUGAGAGAGAUACUACAUUGCCAAUGACUUUAUAAAUAAUCUUAAAUUAACUUACAAAUUUAUAAGAUGCAAACCAAAAGAUUUUUUUUUAAAGAGAGAGAGAGAAAAGAGAAAAAAAGCUUUUAUUCUUUUGGAUCUCAUUAUCAGAAGUAUUAUUCAGCUCGAGAAAUCUGAUUCCCAUAUUGGAAAAUGAACGUCCUUAAGUAUUCCUGAAGUGUAAAACUGGGUGUCUCCUCCCAGCUCUUGUUACAGUGUUUCUGACCGCUUCUUCACCCUUCACAGAUUUAAUACAAAGUUACAAGCCUUACUUUUAUAACAUAUCCUACAAGUUUCCUUAAGACUGUUGUUACAGUCUGGCUGAACCCAGUUCCACCUGCAAAGUCUUGCGUUGUGUCUGCAGGCCACACUAGUGGCUACAGAGGCCAUUUUGUUUGUUGAUACUGAGGCCAUGCUGGGGCACCUGAGUCUAAGGUGGGACUGUGUGCAAGGCACUACAGCUCUUCCCAAGGCGUUUGCCAGCUGUUAGCGCUGCAUUUUCAAAGGUCAGAGACUUUUCUUCUGUCUGAGCUGGUCAUGUAGCAGUUUUUUCCUAAACACAAAAUGGCCUCUUGCUUGUCUGGUAAUGAGAUUGUAAAUCCAUUUCCUGCAUGUUCUCCCCAGGCUUGCCUGAGUGUGUGGGGUGCGCAGGUGCGUGCCCGUCUUUUUGUACUGUAACUACCUCAUGGUUUGAAUGGUGAGCGUACUGCUGGUUGUAUUAACAGAGCACAUUUGUCGGGUGAGUUGUGUAUGUAAACUUUUUUUUUAACCCUGUUUGUUUUAUCUGGGGGUUCGUUCAUUAAACUGACAGAUAUUUUUCUAGGAGGGACUAUUAUUGGUUUCCAAAUGCAAUACUCUAUUCUGGUUUUUCCUGAGUGAGCCUGGUUUUGUUACUGUUUUUUUCAUCUAUGAGGGUAAAAGCAUACCCUGAAAAAUCCCUGUGGCCAGUUUGAACACCCCUGCUGUAACCUUCCCUCUGUCUCAUGGUCUUUGUGAACCUGCUUAGAGGUAUAGUUUUGAUAACCACAGUUUUAAUUCUUUUAUCUGUGCAUAAUAAAGAUAUAUAUCAAUUAUUAAUUUA
rnacentral:lncRNA from 1 species